GGUUAAGCGACUAAGCGUACACGGUGGAUGCCCUGGCAGUCAGAGGCGAUGAAGGACGUGCUAAUCUGCGAUAAGCGUCGGUAAGGUGAUAUGAACCGUUAUAACCGGCGAUUUCCGAAUGGGGAAACCCAGUGUGUUUCGACACACUAUCAUUAACUGAAUCCAUAGGUUAAUGAGGCGAACCGGGGGAACUGAAACAUCUAAGUACCCCGAGGAAAAGAAAUCAACCGAGAUUCCCCCAGUAGCGGCGAGCGAACGGGGAGCAGCCCAGAGCCUGAAUCAGUAUGUGUGUUAGUGGAAGCGUCUGGAAAGGCGCGCGAUACAGGGUGACAGCCCCGUACACAAAAAUGCACAUAUUGUGAGCUCGAUGAGUAGGGCGGGACACGUGGUAUCCUGUCUGAAUAUGGGGGGACCAUCCUCCAAGGCUAAAUACUCCUGACUGACCGAUAGUGAACCAGUACCGUGAGGGAAAGGCGAAAAGAACCCCGGCGAGGGGAGUGAAAAAGAACCUGAAACCGUGUACGUACAAGCAGUGGGAGCACGCUUAGGCGUGUGACUGCGUACCUUUUGUAUAAUGGGUCAGCGACUUAUAUUCUGUAGCAAGGUUAACCGAAUAGGGGAGCCGAAGGGAAACCGAGUCUUAACUGGGCGUUAAGUUGCAGGGUAUAGACCCGAAACCCGGUGAUCUAGCCAUGGGCAGGUUGAAGGUUGGGUAACACUAACUGGAGGACCGAACCGACUAAUGUUGAAAAAUUAGCGGAUGACUUGUGGCUGGGGGUGAAAGGCCAAUCAAACCGGGAGAUAGCUGGUUCUCCCCGAAAGCUAUUUAGGUAGCGCCUCGUGAAUUCAUCUCCGGGGGUAGAGCACUGUUUCGGCAAGGGGGUCAUCCCGACUUACCAACCCGAUGCAAACUGCGAAUACCGGAGAAUGUUAUCACGGGAGACACACGGCGGGUGCUAACGUCCGUCGUGAAGAGGGAAACAACCCAGACCGCCAGCUAAGGUCCCAAAGUCAUGGUUAAGUGGGAAACGAUGUGGGAAGGCCCAGACAGCCAGGAUGUUGGCUUAGAAGCAGCCAUCAUUUNNNNNNNNNNNNNNNNNNNNNNNNNNNNNNNNNNNNNNNNNNNNNNNNNNNNNNNNNNNNNNNNNNNNNNNNNNNNNNNNNNNNNNNNNNNNNNNNNNNNNNNNNNNNNNNNNNNNNNNNNNNNNNCUGAAGGUGUGCUGUGAGGCAUGCUGGAGGUAUCAGAAGUGCGAAUGCUGACAUAAGUAACGAUAAAGCGGGUGAAAAGCCCGCUCGCCGGAAGACCAAGGGUUCCUGUCCAACGUUAAUCGGGGCAGGGUGAGUCGACCCCUAAGGCGAGGCCGAAAGGCGUAGUCGAUGGGAAACAGGUUAAUAUUCCUGUACUUGGUGUUACUGCGAAGGGGGGACGGAGAAGGCUAUGUUGGCCGGGCGACGGUUGUCCCGGUUUAAGCGUGUAGGCUGGUUUUCCAGGCAAAUCCGGAAAAUCAAGGCUGAGGCGUGAUGACGAGGCACUACGGUGCUGAAGCAACAAAUGCCCUGCUUCCAGGAAAAGCCUCUAAGCAUCAGGUAACAUCAAAUCGUACCCCAAACCGACACAGGUGGUCAGGUAGAGAAUACCAAGGCGCUUGAGAGAACUCGGGUGAAGGAACUAGGCAAAAUGGUGCCGUAACUUCGGGAGAAGGCACGCUGAUAUGUAGGUGAAGUCCCUCGCGGAUGGAGCUGAAAUCAGUCGAAGAUACCAGCUGGCUGCAACUGUUUAUUAAAAACACAGCACUGUGCAAACACGAAAGUGGACGUAUACGGUGUGACGCCUGCCCGGUGCCGGAAGGUUAAUUGAUGGGGUUAGCCGCAAGGCGAAGCUCUUGAUCGAAGCCCCGGUAAACGGCGGCCGUAACUAUAACGGUCCUAAGGUAGCGAAAUUCCUUGUCGGGUAAGUUCCGACCUGCACGAAUGGCGUAAUGAUGGCCAGGCUGUCUCCACCCGAGACUCAGUGAAAUUGAACUCGCUGUGAAGAUGCAGUGUACCCGCGGCAAGACGGAAAGACCCCGUGAACCUUUACUAUAGCUUGACACUGAACAUUGAGCCUUGAUGUGUAGGAUAGGUGGGAGGCUUAGAAGUGUGGACGCCAGUCUGCAUGGAGCCGACCUUGAAAUACCACCCUUUAAUGUUUGAUGUUCUAACGUUGACCCGUAAUCCGGGUUGCGGACAGUGUCUGGUGGGUAGUUUGACUGGGGCGGUCUCCUCCUAAAGAGUAACGGAGGAGCACGAAGGUUGGCUAAUCCUGGUCGGACAUCAGGAGGUUAGUGCAAUGGCAUAAGCCAGCUUGACUGCGAGCGUGACGGCGCGAGCAGGUGCGAAAGCAGGUCAUAGUGAUCCGGUGGUUCUGAAUGGAAGGGCCAUCGCUCAACGGAUAAAAGGUACUCCGGGGAUAACAGGCUGAUACCGCCCAAGAGUUCAUAUCGACGGCGGUGUUUGGCACCUCGAUGUCGGCUCAUCACAUCCUGGGGCUGAAGUAGGUCCCAAGGGUAUGGCUGUUCGCCAUUUAAAGUGGUACGCGAGCUGGGUUUAGAACGUCGUGAGACAGUUCGGUCCCUAUCUGCCGUGGGCGCUGGAGAACUGAGGGGGGCUGCUCCUAGUACGAGAGGACCGGAGUGGACGCAUCACUGGUGUUCGGGUUGUCAUGCCAAUGGCACUGCCCGGUAGCUAAAUGCGGAAGAGAUAAGUGCUGAAAGCAUCUAAGCACGAAACUUGCCCCGAGAUGAGUUCUCCCUGAC
rnacentral:rRNA from 1 species